rnacentral:rRNA from 1 species
AAAUUGAAGAGUUUGAUCAUGGCUCAGAUUGAACGCUGGCGGCAGGCCUAACACAUGCAAGUCGAACGGUAACAGGAAACAGCUUGCUGUUUCGCUGACGAGUGGCGGACGGGUGAGUAAUGUCUGGGAAACUGCCUGAUGGAGGGGGAUAACUACUGGAAACGGUAGCUAAUACCGCAUAACGUCGCAAGACCAAAGAGGGGGACCUUCUGGCCUCUUGCCAUCGGAUGUGCCCAGAUGGGAUUAGCUAGUAGGUGGGGUAACGGCUCACCUAGGCGACGAUCCCUAGCUGGUCUGAGAGGAUGAACAGUCACACUGGAACUGAGACACGGUCCAGACUCCUACGGGAGGCAGCAGUGGGGAAUAUUGCACAAUGGGCGCAAGCCUGAUGCAGCCAUGCCGCGUGUAUGAAGAAGGCCUUCGGGUUGUAAAGUACUUUCAGCGGGGAGGAAGGGAGUAAAGUUAAUACCUUUGCUCAUUGACGUUACCCGCAGAAGAAGCACCGGCUAACUCCGUGCCAGCAGCCGCGGUAAUACGGAGGGUGCAAGCGUUAAUCGGAAUUACUGGGCGUAAAGCGCACGCAGGCGGUUUGUUAAGUCAGAUGUGAAAUCCCC